AGACCCAAAAUUUUCUUCCCGCGAUUUCCCCCCAUUUUUCCCCCAAACCUCCCCUCUCAACCAUACCCUCCCCCACCGACCAAACCACCGGCGCCACUCCGACCGACCGCCACCCCUCUGCCAGCUCUCUCUCUUUCUCUUUCUCUCGGACCCAACAGCUAAAGGAUUCGCCGCCCACUAGCACCGUACCACGGAUCUCCGACGAGGGAGCGCCCACCACCCAUCAGAGCACUGCCCUACACCGAUCAGGAACGAAGCCGACCACCGUAUUCUCGCUGUACGAUGGAUUUCUCACAACCAGCCUUGAUUUCACAAUGCGAAAAUAAUUGUUCGUUGACACAUGAGCAGCUUGAUGAUGUUGUGCCCAUAGAAACGGGCCCUCAAAAUGAUGAGUUACCAAGCCAAUGAAAACCAAAUGCAUUUGGAUUUGUACACCGGCGCGCAGCAUCAACUUUGGAUUCUAUACUUGGAACAUUUCUCUAUUAGGAUUGUUGUAGGUGAUGCUAAAUUUUGUAAAGCAGCAAAGUAUUGUGAAAUUAUUGUAGUUUAAACACUGUUCACUCUUGUUAUUUGUAUGACGAUGAAGCUGGAGAAAUUAUGGUGUUUCAUUUGUAUGACGAUGUUAAAGCUUAAUAUGUAUGACUUGAAAUUUCUUCCAAGAAGAAAAUGGAUUAUUGGGUUGUUCUGUUAGAGAGAUUUUUGGUACCAUG